rnacentral:lncRNA from 1 species
CCGGGGAUCGAACCGGCGACUUUCUGCUUUCCAAGCCAUUGGCUCUACCACUGUCUUAAAGAUGCUUUUUUUAAAAGGAAAGGAGAAUUUUUAGAAUGGCUGGUUCAAGGAAGAAGCCUGACCACCCACCGGACAAAACGCUUCUCUGCCUUAUCUCCUUAUCCCUGCUGCCAGGGAGACCUGCCGGGAAAUUUUGGCAGCUCUGGUACCUGUCCUGUGGAUGAAUGGGGCGGCGUGAAGGGAGCAGACUGGAGAGACCCAGAGCUCACGAGCGAACAAUAGGGGCAUCAAAGGGAACGUUGCAUUAAACUCCCCAACGCCGAGAGCCUGGGAACCAUGAGAAUCAUCUCAUUUACCAAGGGAGAAGUGUAGCUGGAUGUUGGAAAAAUUACAUCUCCCGAAGCAGAUGGGCUGGAACCCAUCUCUUCGGGGCUCCACAGGGACUCGCCGUGUUUCUCCCAUUUGAUCACCUCUUCUGGUCCAACCCAAAGGCGGCCCUGGGCUCCCCCCUGGGGCGUCUUCCUGUUUUGUCUGGUACUGGCGGGCNAGCGGAAUGGUGAGGGCUGGUGCGUCUGUCGCCGGCCUGUUUUCUUUAGGAGACGCCGUGCCAAAAGAGGUGAAAUCGACAUGAAAUGCUACACUGUGGCCUUUUCUUCUUGGAUGAAACCCAGGGAGCUUUUGGUAAAGCGGUUUGGCUUCUGAAACAUCUGCUGGUGGGCUUCCAUAAGCAACUGGUUGGCCACUGGGAGAGCAGAAUCCUGCACUAGAUGGACCACAGAACCAACCCACUUGGACACCUCUUAUGCUCCUCUGACCUAUUAUAUAAACAGUAGGUGCCGAGUCGCUCUGCAACGGAAACACCAAACCGGAGGGGAAACCAUUUCCCCCCAGUCUCAGUAAAUAACAUUUCGGCGGUGGGAGUUCAUCGCCGUUCUGUUAUCUAUCAUCACAGUGGCGUGCAGUUGUGGGCCCGCUCGGAGGCGAAGUAUUGGCCGUGAACGGUGCCAACGUAAGACAGGAGGAUUUUUGCCACCCGACAGAGAAAGGAAAUCCCACAAUUCCGGGCAGCCUCUGAGUGACGGUGCCUGAGCGGCGUGCGGCGUCGGCGCGCUUUUGCGCAAAUUCAGGGCGCUAAGAGUGCGUCUGAACCUGCCCCGGGAGGCGAGAGAUGCGCCCACGCAGCGGAUCAGCUGCCGCAGAGACUCACAGGGUGCCAAGGGGGCGUUGUAUCAGCCCUGCCCAACCCCAGUGAGGAAUCUGGGGUUUUCCCCUGCGACGAAAGACGCUCCGCGCUCACGGGCGAAAGGAAACGGGACUUGGCAAACGUACGUUUAUACUUGUGAAACAUGACAGUG